rnacentral:rRNA from 1 species
GACGAACGCUGGCGGCGUGCUUAACACAUGCAAGUCGAACGGAAAGGCCCUGCUUUUGUGGGGUGCUCGAGUGGCGAACGGGUGAGUAACACGUGAGUAACCUGCCCUUGACUUUGGGAUAACUUCAGGAAACUGGGGCUAAUACCGGAUAGGAGCUCCUGCUGCAUGGUGGGGGUUGGAAAGGUUCGGCGGUUGGGGAUGGACUCGCGGCUUAUCAGCUUGUUGGUGGGGUAGUGGCUUACCAAGGCUUUGACGGGUAGCCGGCCUGAGAGGGUGACCGGGCACAUUGGGACUGAGAUACGGCCCAGACUCCUACGGGAGGCAGCAGUGGGGAAUAUUGCACAGUGGGCGGAAGCCUGAUGCAGCAACGCCGCGUGCGGGAUGACGGCCUUCGGGUUGUGAACCGCUUUCGCCUGUGACGAAGCGUGAGUGACGGUAAUGGGUAAAGAAGCACCGGCUAACUACGUG